ACUGCUUCCCAGGAACCCAGAGGCCCACACCAGCUCCCACUGCCACCACCAAGGUUAUGUUAUGCUCACCAGCCUCAGACUCUGUGUCUACAAAACAGGAAUGCAGAGGAGAGCUGCUGUGAGAACCUGCUGACCCACCCUACACCAAAUCCUGGGCUUGCAAUCAGUCCAGGUUCACGGAGGUCCUGCUGCACAGCGUGUGACUGGUCCCAUGCUGGGCACUUCAGCCCAAGAGAUAACAAGACACAGGGGGCAGCCCGGAGGACACUCAGGGCCAUAAGGAGACAGACAGGGGUUCGAAUCUCUUGGAGCCAACCCAGUGGUGACAAGUACACUUAGGUUCUGGGGAGGACAGUAAGGAGGGGGGUACUGUGUAGGGAAGGAUGAAGUGGGGAGCAGAAAGGUCCAGAGAGGGAACAACACAGGCAAAGCACAGAAUGAAGAGCCAUACCAAAGAGAAAGGAGAGAGAGAGGCUGUGCCUGCCAAGCAGUCCCGACCUCCAUGGCUGACCAGGUGGGCGAGCACGGACCAGGCACUUCACACGUUCUCGAGGGGCAGGAUGCCGCCAUCACACCUGCACCCCAGGACACCGUCUCCGGACAGCCGGC
rnacentral:lncRNA from 1 species